rnacentral:rRNA from 1 species
AAAAGGCGGGGAUCUCCUCCUUUCAGGCUGGAACCCGCCCUUCGAAGUUGGCGGCCCACCUUUGAAUAACGCGUGGGUCACCUGAAUGUAAGACUGGGAUAACUCCGGGAAACCGGGGCUAAUACCGGAUGCUUGUUUGAACCGCAUGGUUCAAACAUAAAAGGUGGCUUCGGCUACCACUUACAGAUGGACCCGCGGCGCAUUAGCUAGUUGGUGAGGUAACGGCUCACCAAGGCAACGAUGCGUAGCCGACCUGAGAGGGUGAUCGGCCACACUGGGACUGAGACACGGCCCAGACUCCUACGGGAGGCAGCAGUAGGGAAUCUUCCGCAAUGGACGAAAGUCUGACGGAGCAACGCCGCGUGAGUGAUGAAGGUUUUCGGAUCGUAAAGCUCUGUUGUUAGGGAAGAACAAGUACCGUUCGAAUAGGGCGGUACCUUGACGGUACCUAACCAGAAAGCCACGGCUAACUACGUGCCAGCAGCCGCGGUAAUACGUAGGUGGCAAGCGUUGUCCGGAAUUAUUGGGCGUAAAGGGCUCGCAGGCGGUUUCUUAAGUCUGAUGUGAAAGCCCCCGGCUCAACCGGGGAGGGUCAUUGGAAACUGGGGAACUUGAGUGCAGAAGAGGAGAGUGGAAUUCCACGUGUAGCGGUGAAAUGCGUAGAGAUGUGGAGGAACACCAGUGGCGAAGGCGACUCUCUGGUCUGUAACUGACGCUGAGGAGCGAAAGCGUGGGGAGCGAACAGGAUUAGAUACCCUGGUAGUCCACGCCGUAAACGAUGAGUGCUAAGUGUUAAGGGGGUUUCCGCCCCUUAGUGCUGCAGCUAACGCAUUAAGCACUCCGCCUGGGGGAGUACGGUCGCAAGACUGAAACUCAAAGGAAUUGACGGGGGCCCGCACAAGCGGUGGAACAUGUGGGUUUAAUUCGAAGCAACGCGAAGAACCUUACCAGGUCUUGACAUCCUCUGACAAUCCUAGAAAAUAGGACGUCCCCUUCGGGGGCAAAAUGACAGGUGGUGCCAGGGUUGUCCUCACCUCGUGUCCUGAAAUUUUGGGUUAAGUCCCGCACCCACCGCAACCCUUGAUCUUAUUUGCCAACAUUCAGUUGGGCACUCUAAGGUGACUGCCGGUGACAAACCGGAGAAAGGUGGGGAUA